rnacentral:rRNA from 1 species
UCCGGUUGAUCCUGCCAGAGGCCGCUGCUAUCCGGCUGGGACUAAGCCAUGCUAGUCUAGGGGCUUGUACUCCUUCGGGGGUGCAAGCACCGGCGGACGGCUCAGUAACACGUGGACAACCUGCCCUCGGGUGGGGGAUAACCCCGGGAAACUGGGGCUAAUCCCCCAUAGGUGAUGGGUGCUGGAAUGCCCCAUCUCCGAAAGCGCUUAGCGCCCGAGGAUGGGUCUGCGGCGGAUUAGGUAGUUGGUGGGGUAACGGCCCACCAAGCCUAAGAUCCGUACGGGCUGUGGGAGCAGGAGCCCGGAGAUGGACCCUGAGACAAGGGUCCAGGCCCUACGGGGCGCAGCAGGCGCGAAACCUCCGCAAUGCGGGAAACCGCGACGGGGUUAGCCGGAGUGCCCGUGCAUUGCACGGGCUGUCGGGGUGCCUAAACAGCGCCCCAUAGCAAGGGCCGGGCAAGGCCGGUGGCAGCCGCCGCGGUAAGACCGGCGGCCCGAGUGGCGGCCACUCUUAUUGGGCCUAAAGCGUCCGUAGCCGGCCCAGUAAGUCCCCCGGGAAAUCUGGUCGCUUAACGAUCAGACUUCCGGGGGAUACUGCUGGGCUAGGGACCGGGAGAGGCCGAGGGUAUUCCCGGGGUAGGGGUGAA